rnacentral:rRNA from 1 species
AGCGAACGCUGGCGGCAGGCCUAACACAUGCAAGUCGAACGAACCUUUCGGGGUUAGUGGCGGACGGGUGAGUAACACGUGGGAACGUGCCUUUAGGUUCGGAAUAACUCAGGGAAACUUGUGCUAAUACCGAAUGUGCCCUUCGGGGGAAAGAUUAAUCGCCUUUAGAGCGGCCCGCGUCUGAUUAGCUAGUUGGUUGAGGUAAUGGCUCACCAAGGCGACGAUCAGUAGCUGGUCUGAGAGGAUGGUCAGCCACAUUGGGACUGAGACACGGCCCAAACUCCUACGGGAAGCAGCAGUGGGGAAUCUUGCGCAAUGGGCGAAAGCCUGACGCAGCCAUGCCGCGUGAAUGAUGAAGGUCUUAGGAUUGUAAAAUUCUUUCACCGGGGACGAUAAUGACGGUACCCGGAGAAGAAGCCCCGGCUAACUUCGUG